UAAGAGAGAGGACCCCAAGACCUAGACCCCUAACGCCUAGAUCCUUAAGAGACGGAAGCAUCCGCCGUUUUACACAAAACAGAGACCCCCCUCCCCCGAUCGGUCUUCUUCGAAAAAAAUAAAGCAGCCAUUUCCAUGGCUUUUACUUAAAAAAAAAAAAGCAGAUACAUCGGCAGCCAUCUCCCAUCUUUGGAGAGAAAAAACAACCACCCUCAACUUUCCGUUUCCACCCAAACUCCGUCCCUCACAUCACCGCUGGAAACCAGCCACAAAACACUCCCCAAAAGUAGCUCCAAAAAGACACCAAAACAGUUGUAACUCCACAAGUCGUCGCUACUGCUUCAGUUGUAUAAUCAUCGUGAAAACCAGUUCACAAACACAGCGAACCACCGACUCCAAGAACUACCCUGAACCAUUGCAAACAACUACAAAAAACAUAGUGAGAGGUUCCGGUAUAGAGGUCGUUGAGGUUUUGAGUUGCCGGUUAUGUCCGAAUUCGCCGGCGAAAGCUCUGGUCAAGAAUCGUCGAGUUGUUUAACCUCUUGUAAUUACAAUUUGGUUGAUUUAUACCAAAGAUAUUUGAGCUGAGCUAUUACAGAGUUCAUGAGCGAGCAUCGAAGAUAUAUUAAAAAUUCUAGUUUUUAACUGCCAUUUGUUCAUGGUAGUUUAGAACCAUGAAUGUUUGUUUUGUAUAUUUUAAAUGGAUGAUAUAUUUUCUUCGUA